GCUGGAAGGAUUGUAUACGAGGGAAUAGAUAUUCCUUUUCUUUUUCUUGAUACAGACUCUACAACCUAUCCUUUACCCAAAUAGAGUUAAAGAGUACAUUGCAAAUAACAUCAAAUUCAAGAACCUUCUUUGAGGUGGCUCUUGCACAUGUAUAAAAAAGAUGUACAAAGACCUCAACAAGGAAUUUCUAUUCCCUCGUAUACAAUCCUUCCAGCUUGGGCUGUUUUGCCCAUACACAAUAUGUCACCAAAAUGAAGGAAAAUUUUCACAGGGACGGAUUGGCAUUCCUUCCCACUUAUCUCUAGCUAUCAACACUUAUUUAAUGAACAAAUCAUUUUUGAAUGGAAAGAAUUGCAAUGAUACAGUUCAUGAAGACCAUUGAUCAGGAACUGUGAGGAAAUACGAAGUCAUUGCUUUUCGGAAUCUUUUCUUGUAUUGUUUUGGAGAAACAAUCGUUGGGGAAGCAUUUUUUGGACCACCAAGAAUUCCAGAUGCCUUAACCCAUGUCUCCAAAUGCUUAUCCCAUGUAUAUUGUCUCAUGAAAUCAAU
rnacentral:misc_RNA from 1 species